rnacentral:rRNA from 1 species
AUUGAACGCUGGCGGCAGGCUUACCCCAUGCAAGUCGAGCGAGAGGCGGACGGGUGAGUAAUGUCUGGGAAACUGCCUGAUGGAGGGGGAUAACUACUGGAAACGGUAGCUAAUACCGCCUACCAUCAGCUGUGCCCAGCUGGGUUUAACUAGUAGGUGGGGGAAUGGCUCACCUAGGCGAAGAUCCCUAGCUGGUCUGAGAGGAUGACCAGCCAAAAUGGAACUGAGACACGGUCCAGACUCCUACGGGAGGCAGCAGUGGGGAAUAUUGCACAAUGGGCGCAAGCCUGAUGCAGCCAUGCCGCGUGUGUGAAGAAGGCCUUCGGGUUGUAAAGCACUUUCAGCGAGGAGGCGUUACUCGCAGAAGAAGCACCGGCUAACUCCGUGCCAGCAGCCGCGGUAAUAC